ACCGCGGUGGCCCAAUUGGUAGUGGCGUCGCCAGUACAGAUGCCGAAGGUCGCAGGUCCAAAUCCUGCCUGCGGUU